rnacentral:rRNA from 1 species
UAAUACGAAGGGACCUAGCGUAGUUCGGAAUUACUGGGCUUAAAGAGUUCGUAGGUGGUUGAAAAAGUUAGUGGUGAAAUCCCAGAGCUUAACUCUGGAACUGCCAUUAAAACUUUUCAGCUAGAGUAUGAUAGAGGAAAGCAGAAUUUCUAGUGUAGAGGUGAAAUUCGUAGAUAUUAGAAAGAAUACCAAUUGCGAAGGCAGCUUUCUGGAUCAUUACUGACACUGAGGAACGAAAGCAUGGGUAGCGAAGAGGAUUAGAUACCCUCGUAGUCCAUGCCGUAAACGAUGUGUGUUAGACGUUGGAAAUUUAUUUUCAGUGUCGCAGCGAAAGCGAUAAACACACCGCCUGGGGAGUACGACCGCAAGGUUAAAACUCAAAUGAAUUGACGGGGACCCGCACAAGUAGUGGAGCAUGUGGUUUAAUUCGAAGAUACGCGCAGAACCUUACCAACACUUGACAUGUUCGUCGCGACUCUAAGAGAUUAGAGUUUUCGGUUCGGCCGGACGAAACACAGGUGCUGCAUGGCUGUCGUCAGCUCGUGUCGUGAGAUGUUGGGUUAAGUCCCGCAACGAGCGCAACCCUCACUUUUAGUUGCCAUCAUUAAGUUGGGCACUCUGAAAGAACUGCCAGUGAUAAGCUGGAGGAAGGUGGGGAUGACGUCAAGUCCUCAUGGCCCUUACGUGUUGGGCUACACACGUGCUACAAUGGUAUCUACAACAGGAAGCAAGACUGCGAGGUCAAGCAAAUCCUUAAAAGAUACCUCAGUUCGGAUUGCACUCUGCAACUCGAGUGCAUGAAGCUGGAAUUACUAGUAAUCGUGGAUCAGCGUGCCACGGUGAAUGCGUUCCCGGGUCUUGUACACACCGCCCGUCACACCAUGGGAGUUGGUUCUACCUUAAGGCAAGGUUUAAAACCCUUGACCACGGUAUAGUCAGCGACUGGGGUGAAGUCGUAACAAGGUAGCCG